GAAAACUGCAUGAUGUUAAUACAUCAUCAUUUUGGUACGAGGAUGUUGGCUUGUCCUGACCCCCAGUCUUACUGCUCACAUGGCACGUUUUCUGAUUACAGUUUUCUUCCAUCUUGGCCAAGCAUCUGAAAUGUUUUGAGAAAAUAAUUGUGUGAGUGAAGAUCAGUGCCCUCUGCUUGGUGAAAAGAGGUGCUUCUCAAAGCAGUCGGUGCUUCUUAAAAAGAAGACAUUUCCUUGCACGCUUAAAGCCAGCUUUGUUUCGUGUGGAAGAGUGGAUCCUUUUGCCCUCCUUUGUCUACUUGGUGCUUUUACAUCCCUCCUCAUAUAAAACUGAAAUAUUCUAUUUAUAACACAAACUGCAACUUCACUGUGCAAAUUCUCAGUCCCCAGACAAGAUUGCGAGUUCUUUAUCCUUCAUCCCCUGCUCAGUGCACAGACUCUGGGUUUGGUUUUGUAUUCUUUCCCUCAGAAAUAAAAAGCAGCUAUUGCAGUUACCAAGAUCUUUUCAUGUCUACAUGAAACCAAUGUGAAAGUGGAUUCUGUAAGACCCAUUUUAACGCAGGCACUUGACAAGCUUCCUCCUCUCAUUGCAGUGCAAAACUGACCGUUUGUUGUCGUUUGCCUUUUUUGGCUUUUUUUAAAAUUUCUUUUAGAAUACUGUAUUGUAACAAAUUACACUUAAAAAUCAUUUAGUGUGAAAUUGCAGAUUAAUCCCAUAGGGAUGGGGUUUUAGCACUCGCCUGGCCACUUGGGAGCGUACAGAUGGUGAAUCUGAGUUCUACAAUAGGCACAAUCACUGAUUACAUGCAUGGAUGUAACGGACAAAAAGGCCCUUCCUCAUGGCUAAGUUAUUCAUGAACUUCGGGGGAUUGCUGGGAUUUCGGCGGAUGUUUACAGCAGUGUGACUUUCCAGGUGGAAGAGUCCUGCAGAUGCAAAACGUGACAGUUCCCACGAGCGGCUUCAGAAAUCAAUAGAAGUUUGUGGUCCAAUUUUUCAUCAGUUUGUGGGAUGGAAUGUGAGGACAGCACUGCAAGAUUCCAGCAGAGAGAGGUGGGAGUGCCUUUCCUCAGGAUCUGGCUGCACCAUCAGGACCCUGCAGGAAGAAAGGAAGGAAAAAAAGAAGAAGAAAAUACGUGAAUGUUAG